rnacentral:rRNA from 1 species
UACGUAGGUGGCAAGCGUUAUCCGGAAUUAUUGGGCGUAAAGCGCGCGCAGGCGGUUUCUUAAGUCUGAUGUGAAAGCCCACGGCUCAACCGUGGAGGGUCAUUGGAAACUGGGGAACUUGAGUGCAGAAGAGAAAAGCGGAAUUCCACAGUGUAGCGGUGAAAUGCGUAGAGAUGUGGAGGAACACCAGUGGCGAAGGCGGCUUUUUGGUCUGUAACUGACGCUGAGGCGCGAAAGCGUGGGGAGCAAACAGG